GGGCUCAGAGGCAGAGCUUCUGCUUGGCAUACAGAUGACCCCAGGUUCAUUCCCUGGCA
rnacentral:tRNA from 1 species